GCGCUCACUUCAGCAGUACAUAUACUAAAAUUGAAAGGAUAAAGAGAAGAUUAGCAUGGCCCCUGUGCAAGGAUGACACACCAAUUCGUAAAGAAUUCCAUAUUUUU